UGCUACAGCCAUAUCACCCUGCAGCCCAAGACUGGUUGCUCACGGAAGCUAAGCAGGGCUGGGCUUGGUCAGUACCUGGAUGGGAGACCACAUGGUAAAAACUCAACACAAUCUCAC
rnacentral:rRNA from 1 species